UACGGAGGAUCCAAGCGUUAUCCGGAAUCAUUGGGUUUAAAGGGUCCGUAGGCGGUUAGAUAAGUCAGUGGUGAAAUCCCAUCGCUCAACGGUGGAACGGCCAUUGAUACUGUUUAACUUGAAUUAUUAGGAAGUAACUAGAAUAUGUAGUGUAGCGGUGAAAUGCUUAGAGAUUACAUGGAAUACCAAUUGCGAAGGCAGGUUACUACUAAUUGAUUGACGCUGAUGGACGAAAGCGUGGGUAGCGAACAGG
rnacentral:rRNA from 1 species